AUGGACGACUUGUACCAAGUGAUGCUAUGGGCAAAGCUGUACACCUCUGAUCAGAAGCAAGAGAGUUAUGAGAACUCCCAGGCGAUAGAGAAUGGUACUUAUGAUGAGUCUGGUCAUCUUAACGACUUCGGUUAUUCUGAAGUGGAGAUGAUGAGUGGUAGGAUGUUUGGUACGGGUGCUGAGUAUGGUGGUUUUGCUCUGUUCUUGGUUGAGCUUCUUGGUCUUAUGGGUGUGUUGAUUGCACCGUACUACACAGUGUUUCAUGACCCGUGUUCCACGGGGUACUUAGUCAUAGUGCACAUUCCUGAGAGCUUAGAUGUCCCUUCUAGAGGCGAGUGGCCUCAUCAGCUAGAGGAGGCAGGGAGUUCGUCUGCACCUACGCCCAUUGUCGCCCCUUCGCCUUUUGCGUCCACUUCCACUUUCCCUCCACUUUCACCACGUCCUCCUGUUUUACCUCCCACAUUUUUACCACCACCAGCUUCAACUGCCACUCGUCCACCUCUGUACCCGAUAGUCCCACACACUCGGGCAGACCACCCAGCUCCUAGAGUCAUCAGGGGUUCCUCCUCUCGCGUAGUGUCACGUCCCUCCACACCGUAUGAGCAUCCACCUGCACCUCAGCUUGUUCAGGACCUAUUAGAUCAGGUUGCCACUCUUCAGAGGCGUUGUUCCAAGCUUGAGUGGGUGAACAGCGAGAUGUCCACUGCAUUGAGGGACUACACCCGUCCAGUCCCACCACCUCCAGAGCACACUCCCCACACUCCACCAGGUUCUCCAGCUACCAACCUUGCUCCACCUUCUCCCGAUGGCACCCCCGACUUUUCAGUGAUUGGCGUCGCUUACUCAGAGCUUCUAGCACUCGACUCCCGCCAGGUGUCUUCUCAGCCCCCGGAGUACCUUCAUGUCGCUUCCAACGUCACACCCUCUAAGCACACUCCCUCUGAGUACCCUCUUAGCACCAUUAGUGCACCCGAGUCUGACGCUGCUGCACCGAGUGUGUCUCUGCCUGCACUGACUUCUUCCCUCGACCCCGACUUGCUCCUCACCGUUUCACCUAGUCCUCUUGUCAGGGAGGAUUGA
rnacentral:rRNA from 1 species